UUGAAGAAGCCCACGAGGUCAAAACUAUUUUCAUGUUAAGACUAGGAUAUUGCUUUUUCUCAUUCUUGUCUGUCCUUAAUGUGUGGUGGAAUCUUCCAGAAGCUACAUGACAUGUGAUGAUGUCCUCACUCUGGCGGUUAGUAGACUGUGUUUUUGGUGUUUUCAAAAAUUUUGUUUGAAUUUCUAAUAUAGUAAAUACCAAUAAGCUGUACGGACAAAAGCAGAACUCUCUGAGGUUUUCAAUAAUAUUGGAGUGUAAAGGGGUUCUGAGGCCAAAGGGUUUGAGAACUGCUGGUCUGCUACUCGUUGAACAUCUCUGUCCGAGGGAACGUUCAAGCCUGCUCGGCAUGCUUGGUUACUUUAAACCUCUGGUUGAAGGGAUCUCUCACAUCCUUGUACUGCGUUUUCUGCUGCUGAACAUGUGUGGUGUAUGUGCACAAGCACACCAUCAUCCCAAACAGGAUGGUGUGUUCUAGAAGGCAGGGGUGGCCCCUUGAGCCUCUUUACAUACAGUCUCCCAGGUGAAGUUACUCUUGACCUAACAGGGAACAAAAUGGCCGUCCUGGCUAGAUGCGGAGCCCAGAGAAACCUAGGAUCAUGACUUCAAUGAAUUUACUCCCCUGUUUAAGCAACGUUGAGGACCUCCUCGAGCCUGGCACUAGGAAACUUGGAAUGACAAAAAGGUGUGUGCUGGUCAAACCCUACUUUCCCAAUAGCUUCAGAAAGGCCGAGGCAACCAGAAGGAGAGGCAGAGAACUGACCGUCUCCCCCGAGAACCACUGCCUCAUUGACAGACAUUCCAUCGUUUCCGACUUUUCACUAUUACUGCAAUAACCACCGCACUGGCCUGCUAGGCUCGCCUUCACAAAGUGCCACCGACUGGGUGGCUUACUGACAGAAACGGACGGUCUUCCAACUGUGGAACCUAGAAGUUCAAGAUCUGCUGCGUGUGGGGCCGGGGGUGAAACAGAGGGAAAGAAAGACACA